UGAUCAGUUAGAGGGCAACUCUCCUUUGGCAGAUGAUCCGAUUUUCACCGAAACCGAUGAAUAUCACCUCUUGAUCAGCUGCCAACAGGAGAGCUGCCCUUUUACUGGUUC
rnacentral:miRNA from 1 species